UAAAGGAUACCACCAAGGACCAAGAGUUGUUUAAAAGCUGAAAGAGCUGAAAGAGGAUGGUGUCAAAGCAAGUGCUGCAGCUUGUAGCCUAUACUACUAAGAUACUACUAGGAGACUACACUAUAGAGUGUCUAAAAUAAGGAGGGACCAGGAGUUAUUUAAAAGCUGAAAGAGGAUUGUUUCAUGACCAGACUCGACUGGAGUAAAGCAAGUGUUUUUCUAGGCAUUGACGGAAAAAGGCUAUGGUUAUUUGUGGAUAACUUUGACGAGCUGUAUAUAGUUCCAACCCAGUGGACAGGCUUGAUCAGCACCUUGUUCAUGUUCACACCCAACUGUACUUCGGCACUCAACUUGAUAUGGCAUGGCUCCAUCCUGAAAUUUCAUCACCGAAGAUGAUUGCCAAGAAGGCCGUACCUGCCUCUGUUGUAGCUUCUCUAACACUUUAUAACGAAGAAGCCAGACAAUGUUUGCUGCAACAAUAUACUCUGUACUCAUGCAGGACAUACUUUAUGUUCCUAUACAUUUUCAAUCACUUUUUCUGCUGUUUCAUCAAAUGUGACAGUGCCAAUGAAAAGGGACCUUAACGCGGGCAUUUUCGAAUCAGUUUUUAUUGUUGAAUCAGAUAGGGCGUCCUUUAAGCUUCAAAAUGAUACCAAGAUCGACCUCCUAGCUACUUUCUUUCCGGAGAUAUGUUCGAGGGA